UCCCUCCAGGUGGCCAGAGCAGGCCGGUUUGGCACCAAGGGCUUGGCUAUCACAUUUGUGUCCGAUGAGAAUGAUGCCAAGAUCCUCAAUGAUGUGCAGGAUCGCUUUGAGGUCCUCCCUGUUCCUUAGUGUGUUUGUCCUAAAUCCCAUCACAUAGGUCAUGGGCAUCUGAUGCAUAAUGGACACUUGACUGGUUCAUGCCCCCUGGUCUUUGAUGCUGUGUUGGGAUGUUUUUCUGACCUUUAUGUGGGGUUUCUGUCUUCUCUCAUCAUAUUACAUCCCUUCCCUCACCCCCACGUCCGUCCUCUGAACCCAGGCAGUACACCAGUGUCUGCAUGUGUGCCGUGUGUUCCUGCCUCACUUUCCCCUUUUCAUGCCUUAUUCUGACCAUGCUACGUUUUCUUCUCAGUUGAACAGACACGGUAGAAGACUCGCCCAUUUUGGAAUGUGACCGUCUGUCCUUCAGGAGAGGACACCAGGGUGGGGGUGAAGGAGACACUACUGCCCCCACCCCUGACAGCCCCCACCCCAUGGCUUCCAUCUUUUGCAUCACCACCACUCCUGAACCCCCAUUUCUGAUUUGUCAGAAUUUUUUUUUAACAAAACUAAAAAUGAAA
rnacentral:sRNA from 1 species